UAUAAAGGUACCUCUUUCCCUUGACCCAGUCAGUUAAUUUUAAAAUGCCCUGGGCCAAAACUCUCUGUGGGAAACAAGCUUCUAGAAUCACUAGCUGGUUACUUGGGACAAAUUCACUUGGUUAUGGAAUGCCACAUUCAUUCAUGGAUGCUGCACACAUUUAUUGACUACUUACUGUCAGGUUCUGACCAUUAUGGAAUAUUCUUCUACAACUGAGAAAGUGCAGCUACUGAAUGCAGUCUUUCCCUUAUUGGCACAACAUCAAUCUAAAGUCGGAACUUUAGUAAUGAGUAGAAACCAGCACUGUGGAAGCCAACUUUUCACUGCAGGUGAACGGAAUUUACUCAACUUCUAUGAAAAUAUCAACUUUCUCAGAAAAAUCAGUCUCAAUAUCAAUAUCAAUUUACCCUCUGGUAAACACUACUCAGCAGAUAAGGAGCACAGUCUGUUGGUUUGCAUUCAAAAGAGGCAAACUACAUUCCUGACCCCUUACCAGGACAUUGGCUACUAA
rnacentral:lncRNA from 12 species